rnacentral:rRNA from 1 species
GUGAACCUGCGGAAGGAUCAUUACAAGUGAGGCUACCGAACGCUGGAAACAGCGGUUAGGAGCUUACACCCACCCGUGUUUACAUACUAUUGUUGCUUUGGCGGGCCGUGGCCUCCACUGCGGGCUCUGCUCGUGUGUGCCCGCCAGAGGACCAAACUCUGAAUGUUAGUGAUGUCUGAGUACUAUCUAAUAGUUAAAACUUUCAACAACGGAUCUCUUGGUUCUGGCAUCGAUGAAGAACGCAGCGAAAUGCGAUAAGUAAUGUGAAUUGCAGAAUUCAGUGAAUCAUCGAAUCUUUGAACGCACAUUGCGCCCUGUGGUAUUCCGCAGGGCAUGCCUGUUCGAGCGUCAUUUAACCACUCACGCCUAGCGUGGUAUUGGGGCACGCGGUCUCCGCGGCCCUCAAAAUUAGUGGCGGUGCCGGUGGGCUCUAAGCGUAGUACAUACUCCCGCUAUAGAGUUCCCCCCGGUGGCUCGCCAGAACCCCCAAUUUUUACAGGUUGACCUCGGAUCAGGUAGGGAUACCCGCUGAACUUAAGCAUAUCA